GAUGAACGCUGGCGGCGUGCCUAAUACAUGCAAGUCGAGCGAACAGACGAGGAGCUUGCUCCUCUGACGUUAGCGGCGGACGGGUGAGUAACACGUGGAUAACCUACCUAUAAGACUGGGAUAACUUCGGGAAACCGGAGCUAAUACCGGAUAAUAUAUUGAACCGCAUGGUUCAAUAGUGAAAGACGGUUUUGCUGUCACUUAUAGAUGGAUCCGCGCCGCAUUAGCUAGUUGGUAAGGUAACGGCUUACCAAGGCAACGAUGCGUAGCCGACCUGAGAGGGUGGAGGGCCACAGGGGAAGGGAGGCCGGGCAGAGACGCUGGGGGGGGGAGAAGGGGGGGAUUUUUCCGGAAGGGGGAAAGGGGGAAGGGGGGAACGCGGGGGGAAGGAUGAGGGUUUUAGGAUGGAAAAAUUUUGUAGGAGGGAAGGAAAAAAGGGGUAGGAACCUGGGCGGGUAAGGACGGUACCUAAAAAAAAGGCCCCGGCUAACUCCGGG
rnacentral:rRNA from 1 species